rnacentral:lncRNA from 1 species
GGAGGAGUGGGGAGACCUGGCGAGACCCACCCAGGGCCUGCAGGGCUGGAUAGAGGGACAUCUCUCAUGAGCCUCCAGGGUCAGGAUUGAGACCCUGGGGUACUCACCUGACAGAAGGGGACCAGGGGUCCUUCCAGAAUGUGGGCAGAUGCGCCACUGAAUUUCCUUCUUGCUGAGCGGCCCCCACAGGCUCUUCGGUGGGGGUGGGGGCCAAAGGCCACAGGUGCACUCUGGGAAAUCUGGGAGGGCACAGAGGAGGAAAGGAAGCAGCCCCUCCCCCUCAUUGAGCCCCCACCUGGGAGAGGAUGGAGUGAAGGAGAAGCAGGCUCCCGGGCCUCUGACUGUCCUCACUUUGUUUCCAGCCAGCCCCCUGGUUCUCUGGGCCUCUAUUUAUUUCCUCAUCAGUAAAAGGAGGCCAUAAUCCUUGUCCUGGCUUCCUCUUGGAGUUUCGUAAGAGUUCAAUGAACCCAAGGACGUGAAAGGUGUUAUGCAAAUGAGAGACAUUAUGAGUUAUCUAUUGGGAGGCUUGGAUCCUGAGCUUGGCUCUGUCUCCAGGAAAGAGGCCUCAAGUUUCCUUCUGCAGCAGCGCAGCAUACGGGGUGCACAGUGAUCCACCCAAACGGCAGCUAUGCUGCCGGGGCUGGUGAGACGUGGUCAUUCACAAGGCAGCUCGCUGUGCUGCACAGCAGGUUGCUGCCCGGAGUCGCCAUGAAGGAAUGUGAUGCAGCCUAUUGGAGGAGAACCAAACCCCACCACCACCCCAGAAAGCCAUACCAGCUGCCGACAUGUACAUGGGCUCAUCGGGGGUUUUCCAGGCCCACUGAUGUUCCAGCUGAGCACAGCUGCCGGGGCCCUGCUGGGCUAGGUGACUCACGCCUGUAAUCCCAACACUUUUGGAGGCUGAAGCGGGCGGAUCACAAGGUCAGGAGUUCAAGACCAGCCUGGCCAACUUGGUGAAAGCCUGUCUCUACUAAAAAUUCAAAAAAAUUAGCUGGGCAUGGUGGCGGGCGCCUGUAAUCCCAGCUACUAGGGAGGCUGAGGCAGAAGGAUUGCUUGAACCUGGGAGGCAGAGGUUGCAGUGAGCCAAGAUUGAGUGACCGCACUCUAGACUGGGUGACACAGAGAGACUCCAUCUCAAAAUAAAUAAAUAAAUAAAUAAAUAAAUAAAAUAAAAUAAAAUAAAAUAAAAAAG